AGAAGCGCUGCGUGUCUGUCAAAAGGGGAAGGGUGAUCGCGUUUCAUCGGAAGAACGGAAGGAAAUUUCGCCGUGAAUAUAUAUUUUUUUUCGAUACUACCGCAUCGAAAAUAGUGGAAUCCUCCUCUUAAAGAACCAGUGCAUUAAUUUCAUAGUUUUCCGCUUGAUAGGUUGAAUUGAAAGUGGGUAAUAGAGGUUAUUUUUACCGAUUUUCCUACGGGUAGCGAAAAAAAAGUUUCAGUGGAUAACAGCGCGCGUGUGUGCGUGAGAAGUCUGCGUCGUCGUUCGAAGAAGCAACAGCAAUAGUUCGAAAGCUACAAACUGUCAAAUGUUUGCCAGUUCCACGUUCGCUUGGUAGGAAUCUUCCCCCGGUUUAUUGGUUGCCGAUAGCAUCCGGAGGAUUUGUUUUCAAACAAAGCAAAAACUCGGUCAACGGAUUACUCUGAUUAAGUUCUUCUAUCAUUUACUUCGGCCGAUUGCAGCUUUGUGGGCAGGUUUCGGUGUUGAUUAUAACCUCUUGGAAACGACACAGUAAAUAGUGUCAGGGGAGAGUUUCUCUGUUUCCGAACCUAUGUCAUACCCGACGAGACCACCACCGGCGAUUGUGCCGGCCGGAAUUCCGUUUGGAAUGGCUCCCCCCAUGAUGCCUCCCAUAAUCCCAGCCGGAAUGCCACCUUUGAGUCAACCCCCGCCGGGUGCACGAGCUGGAUUUCGCGGACCACCACCCACGAUUGGUUCCCGUCCGGUGGCGUACAAUAAUGUGAACAACUAUCAGGACAAACAUCGCGACCGUGGUGGAGGCGUGCAAGUUCCAAAUCCGGCACCCACUUUCGAUGGACCAGUGAUUACGGUUUUCAUUGGCAACAUCAGCGAUAAGGCGCCUGAUCCGAUGAUCAAAAAGAUACUCGCGUCGUGUGGAACGGUUAUCAACUGGAAACGAGUGUCGACAUUCGGAUUCUGUGAAUACGACGGUGCUGUAGCUGGGGCUCGCGCUGUGCGUCUUCUACAUGAUUUGGAGAUUGACGGUAAGAAGCUUGUGGCAAAGGUGGACGCCAAGAAUAAAGCCCUUUUAGAUAAUUACGAGAAGGAAGAGCAAGGUGGGAGCGAUGUAUCUGAGCGAAAGGGUGACGACGAAUCGUUGGAUUUAAUCUCGAGAAUUCUCGAUGAGUUUAAGGACGAUUUGAUGGGUCCCGACCAACAGGAAGAGGGAAGCACUGCCACGGGGAAGCAAAAGAAACAACUCCAGCAGGCUGAUAUGGAGGAGGGAAAGAGAGAAUUAAUAAGUAAGGAAAUUGGCAAAUUUCGUAAAUACACCGAAGAGGAGGAAUUGAAGAAGGAGAAGGAAAAGGAGCGGAGGAAGGCACGUGAUGAGAAAAAGUCUGACGGCGAUAAGAGGAGGUCCGUCUCGCCGCGGAAAGAGAAGGAAAAGAAAUCGAGAAGGCGGAGUCGAUCGCGUUCGCGCGAUCGUGAACGAGAACGCGAAAGGGAACGUGAGCGCGAGCGGGAACGGGAAAUGGCUAGGGAGCGGGAGCGAGAGCGCGAGAAUCGCGAACGAAUAGAACGGGAAAAUCGCGAAGCAAGGGAGCGGGAGAGGGAAAGGGAACGUGAGCGGGAUCGGGAACGCGAGCGCGAGUUACUAAAUCGUAAUCCACGGGACAUUCAGAAGGAGAAGGAAAUGGAGGAGGAAGCGAGGGACCGAAGAAAAGCAGAGAAGAAGGCUAAGGAGAAGGAAGCUGCUUAUCAGGAGAGAUUGAGAAAUUGGGAGGCACGCGAAAGACGGAAGGCCAAGGAAUAUGAGAAGGAACGCGAAAAGGACCGUUGUAAAGAAGAGGAACGCGAGAAGGAAGCCAAGCGACUGAAGGAAUUCUUGGAGGACUAUGAUGACGAGCGAGAUGAUCCAAAAUAUUACAAGGGGCGCGAACUGCAGCGUCGGCUGGCGGAACGUGUCCGUGAGGCCGAUCUUGAUUCAAAGGAUCGCAACAAAGAACAGGAAGAAUUGGACGAACUGAAAAAUAAGAUUUUCUCCGGCGAAUAUGAUAACCCCACAUUAGAGUUUGAAAAGUUGAAGAAACAACGCGAAGACAUGUACCGGCCCAAGAUUCUGAUCGACGUCAACCUGGAGCAAUCACAACAGCGUGAGCGAGAGCUGGAACGCGAGCGGCUGCGUGAAAUUGAGCGACAGCGAGAUAAAGAGCGCCUUAAGGCCAACAAGGAGCGAUAUGUGCUGGCCCAAGCAUCCCGCGAAUUGGCUGCUAUCGAUGCAGAGCCCAUCGAGUCCGACUCGAGUGGUCACGAUGAUAAUAACAUUGGGUCGCCUGUUUCGGCGGUUACCAAUAAUCAUCACUCCCAGGGUCAUCAUCAGACGGGACAGGUUCAUCCACAGCAUGCUGGAUCAGAAACGCGAGAUUCGUUCGGAUUCGGUUCUGUACCUGCGACGGUGAUUGGUGCUGGUGAGGAUGAGAAUUCUCACCAGUCGAUGCGGUCAAAUUCAAACAUGAUUAUGCAUAGUCCCGAGGCAAACAGCAGCAGUGAGUUCAAUUCCAUACCGGAGAAGCACCAACCAAUCGCACCCACAAUCAGUCUCAGCUUGAACGCUAACGCCAAGAAGAAAAAGCUGGAAAUGAAGGAUGUCUUCAAUAGCUUGGAUGAUGAUGGCGAGGAAUCUAACGGACCCAAAAAACGAAAACUAAUUCCGUUGGAUGACGAUCAUAAGACGCAAAUUGGUGCAUCGACGGAAACCAAACCUGCUCCUUCGCAACACUCAGGCUCUAAGAGCUCUUCAAAGUCCAGCAAGGGUGGUGAAGACGCAUCAAGCACUAGUCGGUCAAGUAGAGAUGCCAUAAAAUCGCAAGAGGAGAAAAGACGACAUAUAAAAAGUAUUAUUGAUAAGAUUCCAACGGAGAAAAUCGAUCUGUUCAAUUAUCCGCUCGAUUGGAACGAAAUCGAUAGUACAAUUGAGAAGAAAAUCCGACCGUGGAUCAACAAGAAGAUUAUUGAGUACAUUGGUGAGCCGGAACCUACGCUGGUUGACUUUAUAUGUUCGAAAGUGUUGGCUGGAAGUACUCCGCAGGGGAUUCUUGAUGAUGUCCAGAUGGUUUUAGAUGAGGAGGCCGAAGUGUUUGUCGUGAAGAUGUGGCGUUUGCUAAUUUACGAGGUCGAAGCCAAGAAGGUCGGGCUAACAAAAUAGAUCUAAAUCAUCAGCGGUUGGAAAGCAGGUAUAGCCCCACUAUUGGUUGGUUGAGAGAUGUUGUAGCACUGUAAGAGAGGGGGCACCUUUAUGAACACUAAAUUGCUUGCCACCAUCUCGCGUGGUUGAUUGUAUAGAGGAUCCCCUCCACCAUCUUUCCUUUUGUAUUGCUCCCGCUGAUUUGUAUCUAAAUUGUGCUGAACAGACUCUCAAUUUUCUCUUAAUUCUAAUAAGGUAUUUUGCGAUAUAAAAUAUGAUUCAUCUAUAGAAUAGAAAUGACAAAUAUAGAGCAAACUACAAGUUACUGGUUGACAGUAACGGUGUUCACCACCCGAAAAGGAAAGAAAACAGUUUUAUCGUUCAAGCUUCGCGGUGUAACAAAUAUGUAUCCCAGAAUAGUUAGUGUAUGCGUGUGCGUGGCUCUAUAAAACCAUCUAAAUGUGUUAAGUAGCACCGUUAGAUUUACCAUUGAAAUUUCACAUACAGGCAUCAUUUAAACAUAUGAACGCAUUCUGCUGCAUCCGGAAGACGAGUUCACAGUGGGAAUCGUUCGACCAUCGAUCGCUGACAGACAUAACAGACAUGGUUCAGAAUAAUAUCAUGGCUCCCAUCGGUCGGUGCGUACCCCCGUGCCGAUAGUGUGGACACUUUGCCGUGCAUUGCGCGACUCCAUCAAAAUUCCCGUCCUCCAUUUUGGUUCUUCUGAAUUGGUGUUGCACUGAUUGGUUCCGCGAAGCGUGAGUAAACAAAUUAUUUAUUAAUACGCCCAAACAAGAUUGUUAUUCAACAAAAAAAUUACAUUAGGUAAGAUACAGCAGGUAUACGGCGGACCAUGUGUGAAUCGUGAAUUUUCGAAUGUGGUUUAUUAAUUGAGGGUUUUUCAAAAUUUGUGCAGGACAUCAUCGGGAGCAGAUUACGGACUGACGAAAGGAU